CACAAACUAUCUCUCCCUCUCCCACUCACUCUCUGUCUCCCUCUCUCCCCUGUUCUCCUGGAAGAGGGAUUCUUUAUCAAACUGCAUCAGACUAUUCUCCACUGGAGGGCGAAUUCUACAAGAGGAACAGGGCGAAUUGGAAGGAAUACAGUCGGAGCGAAGGGGUAGAGGCAACAGCAGCUGGAAGCAAGAGAGACAGAGAAAAUCCCGGCCCGAUCCCUGCAAGCAUCAUUCUCGCCACCGGAUUAAAUCCGUCCCCUCCUCGCACGCCAAACCACGCCAAGACAUGAGCUUCUCCUGCCGGGGUUACUUCAUGUUGAACUGAGCCGUCCUGAGUCUCCAGUGCGUCUCUUUCCUUGGUUUAAUCUCCCUCUGUGUGUCACCCGGU